rnacentral:rRNA from 1 species
GCGCGAAACCUCUGCAAUGCACGAAAGUGCGACAGGGCCACCCCGAGUGCUAGACGCUGAGUCUAGCUUUUCCCGAGUGUAGUAAGCUCGGGGAAUAAGCGGGGGGCAAGCCUGGUGUCAGCCGCCGCGGUAAUACCAGCUCCGCGAGUGGUCGGGACGAUUAUUGGGCCUAAAGCGUUCGUAGCCGGUCUAGUAAGUCUCUAGUUAAACUUCAAGGCUUAACCUUGAGAUCGCUGGGGAUACUGCUAGACUAGGGGGCGGGAGAGGUUGAGGGUACUUCGCGGGUAGGGGCGAAAUCCUAUAAUCCGCGAAGGACCACCAGUGGCGAAGGCGCUCAACUGGAACGCGCCCGACGGUGAGGGACGAAAGCCAGGGGAGCAAAGGGGAUUAGAUACCCCCGUAGUCCUGGCUGUAAACGAUGCGGGCUAGGUGUUGGGUUGGCUUCGUGCCAACCCGGUGCCGCAGCGAAGGCGAUAAGCCCGCCGCCUGGGAAUACGGCUGCAAGGCUGAAACUUAAAGGAAUUGGCGGGGGAGCACCACAAGGGGUG